AUCCUCAAAGGAGUGCGUAAUAGCUCACUGAUCAAGCGUUUUUGCGCCGAAAAUUUCCGGAACUAAGUUUUUUGCCGAAGCUAUGGAUAUAUUAUCUACAUAAUAUGUGGUAGAGGAGCGUUCCGCUCAGGGAGAAGCCAAGCGCGUAAGCCGCGGUGGACAGAGCGGAAGUGAGAAUGUCAGAUUGAGUAACGAAAACACUAGUGAGAAUCUAGUGCCCCGAAAACGUAAGGGUUCCUCUGCAAGGCUCGUCCUCAGAGGGUCAGUCAGGACCUAAGGUGAGGCCGAAAGGCGUAAUCGAUGGAAAAAAGGUUUAUAUUCCUUUACCGCACACUAUUAGUCCUAAGGGACGAACAAAUGAAGCGAAAGAAAUUUGCCACCUUGGCAGGUGGAUCAACGAACUUCUUGUCUCUGCAUUUUUUCCAAGAAAAGCUUAUCGACUUUGAUAGCUGUGCGCCUGUACCGUAAACCGACACAGGUACGUGGGUUGAAUAAACUAAGGGGAGCGAGAUAACUCUCUCUAAGGAACUCGGCAAAUUGGCUCUGUACCUUCGGAAGAAAGAGUGCCCUGCAUAAGGGCCGCAGUGAAGAGAUCCAGGCGACUGUUUACCAAAAACACAGGUCUCCGCUAAGUCGCAAGACGAUGUAUGGGGGCUGACGCCUGCCCAGUGCCGGAAGGUUAAAGAAGUUGGUCAGCGCAAGCGAAGCUAACGACUGAAGCCCCGGUGAACGGCGGCCGUAACUAUAACGGUCCUAAGGUAGCGAAAUUCCUUGUCGGGUAAGUUCCGACCUGCACGAAUGGCGUAACGAUUUCCCCACUGUCUCCAACAUAGACUCAGUGAAAUUGAAUUCUCGGUUAAGAUGCCGAGUAACCGUGGUUAGACGGAAAGACCCCGUGCACCUUUACUGCAGCUUUGUAUUGGUAUUAGGGGACAGAUGUGUAGCAUAGGUGGGAGACUUUGAAGGAUUGGCGCUAGCCAGUCUGGAGUCACCAGUGAAAUACCACUCUUCUGUUCCUUGAUGCCUAACCAUACACCGUUAUCCGGUGUUGGGACCAUGCAUGGUGGGCAGUUUGACUGGGGCGGUCGCCUCCCAAAGAGUAACGGAGGCGCGCGAUGGUAGGCUCAGAACGCUUGGAAACCGUUCGUCGAGUGCAAUGGCAUAAGCCUGCCUGACUGCGAGACCCACAAGUCGAGCAGAGACGAAAGUCGGUCAUAGUGAUCCGGUGGCACUUCGUGGAAGGGCCAUCGCUCAACGGAUAAAAGGUACGCCGGGGAUAACAGGCUGAUCUCUCCCAAGAGUCCAUAUCGACGGGGAGGUUUGGCACCUCGAUGUCGGCUCAUCGCAUCCUGGGGCUGAAGCAGGUCCCAAGGGUUUGGCUGUUCGCCAAUUAAAGCGGUACGCGAGCUGGGUUUAGAACGUCGUGAGACAGUUCGGUCCCUAUCCUCUGCAGCCGGAAGAGAUUUGACGAAAGCUGUCCCUAGUACGAGAGGACCGGGAUGGACGUAGCUCUCCUGGUUGAUGCUGAUCAAAAAUCCAAUUUUAGAUGCAAGGCAUUAGCUAGUGAGACAAAAAAAAUAUUCUUUAAAACUUUUGUGUCUAACAAAAUGUAACCAUGUCCUUAAAACUAUAAAGUUUGUAUCGCUUUUGGGAACCUCUUGAGGUUCCCAUUUUUUU
rnacentral:rRNA from 1 species